rnacentral:rRNA from 1 species
AGCGGCGGAUGGGUGAGUAACACGUGGGGAACCUGCCCCUAAGUCUGGGAUACCAUUUGGAAACAGGUGCUAAUACCGGAUAAUAAAGCAGAUCGCAUGAUCAGCUUUUGAAAGGCGGCGUAAGCUGUCGCUAAGGGAUGGCCCCGCGGUGCAUUAGCUAGUUGGUAAGGUAACGGCUUACCAAGGCGACGAUGCAUAGCCGAGUUGAGAGACUGAUCGGCCACAUUGGGACUGAGACACGGCCCAAACUCCUACGGGAGGCAGCAGUAGGGAAUCUUCCACAAUGGACGCAAGUCUGAUGGAGCAACGCCGCGUGAGUGAAGAAGGUUUUCGGAUCGUAAAGCUCUGUUGUUGGUGAAAAAGGAUAGAGGUAGUAACUGGCCUUUAUUUGACGGUAAUCAACCAGAAAGUCACGGCUAACUACGCGCCAGCAGCCGCGGUAAUACGUAGGUGGCAAGCGUUGUCCGGAUUUAUUGGGCGUAAAGCGAGCGCAGGCGGAAAAAUAAGUCUAAUGUGAAAGCCCUCGGCUUAACCGAGGAACUGCAUCGGAAACUGUUUUUCUUGAGUGCAGAAGAGGAGAGUGGAACUCCAUGUGUAGCGGUGGAAUGCGUAGAUAUAUGGAAGAACACCAGUGGCGAAGGCGGCUCUCUGGUCUGCAACUGACGCUGAGGCUCGAAAGCAUGGGUAGCGAACAGGAUUAGAUACCCUGGUAGUCCAUGCCGUAAACGAUGAGUGCUAAGUGU